UUGUAUGAAAAUAAAAUUGUUCAGAUAUACAGGUCUAUAUUAUACUGUAUAAGAUAUUUAUUAAUAAAUGUUUUCUUAAUUAUUCAGCAGUACAAUAUUGCUUACCAACUAUACAGUCAAAAAAAUAAUUCUUAUUUAUGGAUUUUAUCUACCUUUUAUCCUUCACCCCACACACAAUUGUGGUCAAAUAUUUUUGUUCUUUACAUUUCACUAUCAAUUGCAAUUUCUCCAUCUACUCCACAUGUUCUAAAAUAUCUUUUAAUGACCUCUAGUUAAUUUUUCUUGAUCAUCUCAUGACAUUUCUUUCUUUUAACAUGUCUAAACCAUCUCAAUAAAUUUUCUCUCAUUUUUCCUGCAAUAUAGACUACUCCAUAAUUACCUACUAAUUCUAUUUUCUAUUCAAUAACACUCAUCCUAUAGCAUAGAUGUAUUGAUUACUUUUUGUUUUAUCUAAUAUUAAAUUAAUUUUAUUACCUAACCUAUUCUAUAUUUGGUUUUAAACCUAUAAAAUGUAUUUAUACAGAGUUCCCCCAUGUAAAUACAGAUUCAUUGUAAUAUCUCCUGAUAUAAUAAAGAAAA